AAACAAAUCUUCGGAAGAGUGAGAGUAUAGAGAGCUCGGGACGGGUGAGUAACGCGUAGGCAACCUGGCAUAUACAGAGGGAUAGCCUCGGGAAACCGGGAUUAAAACCUCAUAACGCGAAAGAGUCACAUGGCUUUUUCGCCAAAGAUUUAACCGCGGAUGGGCCUGCGUCUGAUUAGCUCAGGUGGGGUAACGGCUCACCAAGGCAACGAUCAGUAGCCGACCUGAGAGGGUAAUCGGCCACAUUGGAACUGAGACACGGUCCAAACUCCUACGGGAGGCAGCAGUGGGGAAUAUUGCACAAUGGGCGAAAGCCUGAUGCAGCAACGCCGCGUGAGCGAUGAAGGCCUUUGGGUCGUAAAGCUCUGUCCUAGGGGAAGAAUAAAUGACGGUACCCUUGGAGGAAGCCCCGGCUAACCAGUUGCCAGCAGCCGCGGUAAAAUGUAGGGGGCAAGCGUUAUCCGGAAUUAUUGGGCGUAAAGAGUGCGUAGGUGGUUUUG
rnacentral:rRNA from 1 species